GACGAACGCUGGCGGCGUGCUUAACACAUGCAAGUCGAACGACGUGGCGAACGGGUGAGUAACGCGUAAUCAACCUGCCCUUCAGAGGGGGACAACAGUUGGAAACGACUGCUAAUACCGCAUACUGAAGGAGGGGAUUGCGUCUGAUUGGCUAGUUGGUGGGGUAACGGCCCACCAGGGCGAUGAUCAGUAGCCGGUCUGUGGGGUGGAACGGCCACAUUGGGACUGAGACACGGCCCAGACUCCUACGGGAGGGAGCAGUGGGGAAUCGGCCGCAAUGGACGAAAGUCUGACGGAGCAACGCCGGCUGAGUGAUGACGGCCUUCGGGUUGUAAAGCUCUGUUAAUCGGGACGCGGUACCGGAAUAGAAAGCCACGGCUAACUACGUGCCAGCAGCCGCGGUAAUUC
rnacentral:rRNA from 1 species